rfam:Rattus norvegicus chromosome 16, whole genome shotgun sequence.
GGGGAUUUAGCUCAGUGGUAGAGCGCUUGCCUAGCAAGUGCAAGGCCCUGGGUUCGGUCCCCAGCUCUA